GGAAAGGAGCAAUCCGCUGAUAGAUGGGCUUGCGUCUGAUUAGAUAGUUGGUGGGGUAAUGGCCUACCAAGUCGACGAUCAGUAGCCGGACUGAGAGGUUGAACGGCCACAUUGGGACUGAGAUACGGCCCAGACUCCUACGGGAGGCAGCAGUCGGGAAUAUUGCGCAAUGGAGGAAACUCUGACGCAGUGACGCCGCGUGCAGGAAGAAGGUUUUCGGAUUGUAAACUGCUUUAGACAGGGAAGAAAAAAGACAGUACCUGUAGAAUAAGCUCCGGCUAACUACGUGCCAGCAGCCGCGGUAAUACGUAGGGAGCAAGCGUUAUCCGGAUUUAUUGGGUGUAAAGGGUGCGUAGACGGAGAAGCAAGUUAGUUGUGAAAUCCCUCGGCUUAACUGAGGAACUGCAACUAAAACUACUUCCCUUGAGUACUGGAGAGGAAAGUGGAAUUCCUAGUGUAGCGGUGAAAUGCGUAGAUAUUAGGAGGAACACCAGUGGCGAAGGCGACUUUCUGGACAGUAACUGACGUUGAGGCACGAAAGUGUGGGGAGCAAACAGGAUUAGAUACCCUGGUAGUCCACACUGUAAACGAUGGAUACUAGGUGUAGG
rnacentral:rRNA from 1 species